ensembl:lncRNA
UCCAUUGGUGAGCAAGUGACGCAAUGCUAAAUUUCUCAAAACCCUAUUGCGAUGAAGAAACAAACUCUGAGAUGGCCUGAGGGUGUUGGCCCCAUUAUCAAUGCAGCAUCAUCUUGGGUUCCAAGUGAGCGGUGUCUGGCACUCUGAAGCGAUCGCACACCACGUGACAC